UUUGGGAGGGKDRUGNUAUUGGACUACCAUGGCAGUCUCGGGUAACGGAGAAUUAGGGUUCGAUUCCGGAGAGGGAGCCUGAGAAACGGCUACCACAUYUAAGGAAGGCAGCAGGCGCGUAAAUUACCCAAUCCCGAUUCGGGGAGGUAGUGACAAGAAAUAACAAYUUCAGAGGUUCGCCUCUAGAAGAKUCCAAUGAGAACAAUUUAAAUCUAUUAUAGAGGAACAAGUGGAGGCCAAGUACGGUGCCAGCAGCCGCGGUAAUUCCAGCUCCAAUAGCGUAUACAUAAGNUAAGGCAGUUAAAAAGCUCGUAGUUGAAAUUAGAGAUGGGCACAGUCGAGGCUUCAGCCAGGCCCAUGUCUAUUUWUCCGUCAGCAAGCUUAUUGGGCCUUAACUGGUUUCAGUUAGUAAGAGGACAUUUUACCUUGAAAAAAUUAGAGUGUUUCAGGCAGGUAAYUSUUCGGAAUACAUUAGCAUGGAAUAAUGGAAUAGSAAUCAGAUCCUUUGUUGGUUUCGGGAAUGGAGUAAUGAUUAAUAGGAACAGAUGGGGGCAUUAGUAAAUAAUUGUCAGAGGUGAAAUUCUUGGAUUUAUUAAAGACUAAUCAAUGUGAAAGCAUGGAACAGGGAUGUAUCAUAUCAGACCGAAUGMC
rnacentral:rRNA from 1 species